AUUCCAGCUCCAAUGGCGUAUAUUAAAGUUGUUGCAGUUAAAAAGCUCGUAGUUGGAUUUCUGGCAGGAGCGACCGGUCGGCCCAUUGUGGUGUGUACUAGUGUUGCAUCUGGCCAUAUUUGUGGAGAGCGUGUGUGGCAUUAAUUUGUCGUGCUCGGGACCCGCAUCGUUUACUGUGAGAAAAUUAGAGUGUUCAAAGCAGGCUUAUGCCUUGGAUAUGUUAGCAUGGAAUAAUAAGAUAAGACUUUGGCGGUCUAUUUUGUUGGUUUGCACGCCAUUGUAAUGAUUGAUAGGGACAGUUGGGGGUAUUCAUAUUUAAUUGUCAGAGGUGAAAUUCUUGGAUUUAUGAAAGAUGAACUACUGCGAAAGCAUUUACCAAGGAUGUUUUCAUCA
rnacentral:rRNA from 1 species